GAUGAACGCUGGCGGCGUGCCUAUACAUGCAAGUCGAGCGAACAGACGAGGAGCUUGCUCCUCUGACGUUAGCGGCGGACGGGUGAGUAACACGUGGAUAACCUACCUAUAAGACUGGGAUAACUUCGGGAAACCGGAGCUAAUACCGGAUAAUAUAUUGAACCGCAUGGUUCAAUAGUGAAAGACGGUUUUGCUGUUACUUAUAGAUUGAUCCGCGCCGCAUUAGCUAGUUGGUAAGGUAACGGCUUACCAAGGCAACGAUGCGUAGCCGACCUGAGAGGGUGAUCGGCCACACUGGAACUGAGACACGGUCCAGACUCCUACGGGAGGCAGCAGUAGGGAAUCUUCCGCAAUGGGCGAAAGCUUGACGGAGCAACGCCGCGUGAGUGAUGAAGGUCUUCGGAUCGUAAAACUCUGUUAUUAGGGAAGAACAAAUGUGUAAGUAACUAUGCACGUCUUGACGGUACCUAAUCAGAAAGCCACGGCUAACUACGUG
rnacentral:rRNA from 1 species